GACGAAGGGGGCUAGCGUUGUUCGGAAUUAUUGGGCGUAAAGAGCUCGUAGGCGGUUUGUCGCGUCUGCUGUGAAAACCUAAGGCUCAACCUUGGGCUUGCAGUGGGUACGGGCAGACUAGAGUGCGGUAGGGGUGACUGGAAUUCCUGGUGUAGCGGUGGAAUGCGCAGAUAUCAGGAGGAACACCGAUGGCGAAGGCAGGUCACUGGGCCGCAACUGACGCUGAGGAGCGAAAGCAUGGGGAGCGAACAGG
rnacentral:rRNA from 1 species